rnacentral:rRNA from 1 species
AACGAACGCUGGCGGCAUGCCUAACACAUGCAAGUCGAACGAACUCUUCGGAGUUAGUGGCGCACGGGUGCGUAACGCGUGGGAAUCUGCCCUUGGGUACGGAAUAACUCAGAGAAAUUUGUGCUAAUACCGUAUAAUGACUUCGGUCCAAAGAUUUAUCGCCCAAGGAUGAGCCCGCGUAAGAUUAGCUAGUUGGUGGGGUAAAAGCCUACCAAGGCGACGAUCUUUAGCUGGUCUGAGAGGAUGAUCAGCCACACUGGGACUGAGACACGGCCCAGACUCCUACGGGAGGCAGCAGU